UGACAGUUCUUUAGGACCACACAUUAAAAUUGAAACGCCAUCUUCGUUAGCGCGAGCGGUACGACCGCUUCUAUGAACAUACAUAUCAGCUGUAUGAGGAACAUGAUAAUGAAUUACGUGCGUAACACUAGGAAUAUCAAUACCACGGGCGGCCACAUCAGUGCAAACAAGGACUCCUUUAGGAUUAUUUUUGAACCUUGUUAGUUAGUAACAUAUAAAUAAAAAUAACUUACUUUUCAAGAGAUUGAAGUCUUUUUUUCUGAUCUAAUUGAGCAUGUAGAGGAUAGGAUGGAACUUUUAACUCAUUUAGAAAAGGAGUGAUUCUCUUAAUAUCCUCAAUACCAUUGGCAAAAACCAUGGUUUUUCCAGGAUAACGCAUGAUCAAAUAAUAAAGAUACAAGUCUUUUUCAGCUGGAGCACACUCUAUGAGCCCUUCUAAUACGCGGCUUGCCAC